rnacentral:tRNA from 1 species
GGGUAAUUAAUUUAAAACUAAAAUUUUUGGUAAAAUAAUAUUUUAACUGGCCA